ACUAUUCAAAAAAGGAUGCAAUGGAGAACAUUUACAGAGGACUGUGGGUAAAGCAAAGUCUUCAAGGGAAGAUAACAAAGGAUGAAACAAUGGUGUUGUGUGACUUCCUAGUAAAAUCUACUGGUGGAGUCACUCCAUUAUUCUUAUCUGUGGAGAUCUAGAUCUUGAUUUGAAAGUUUCUGAGAAAAUCUUCAGCUCAGACUUGAGGGUCAACUUUACCAGCUGAAGGAUCUGCAUUUACUGCUCAACCACAUCUAAUUUGAUGUCCUCUGCAGAUUUAAAAUGUGUGCCUUCUUUUCCGUCACCAAGUCAUCCCUGGGUUACUACUGAACAUCCUUCUCAAUUCCCCCCGACCCAUGGAUGGCUGUUCUCCAUUGUCUGUUUCACCAGAUGUCCUCAAAACAAACAGACAGAAGAAGGAAGUGGCUAAUGGAGCUGUGGAGUCCAAGUGUGACUGCCAAGAGGAAUCCAGCAAAGCCAAAAAGCCCAAGCAUGUAGCCCUGCCCGAAGCACGCCACACGCAUGGAAAACCCAGAGGAAAUGAGUGAGGAUCAAUGGGAAGAAGAGAGCCAGCCAGGUUCGAUGCCUUCUCCAUCCGUCAGUGAGGGUGUGGAGAGCCUGCAGGCGUGUGCCUCCCUCUGUAACUUGCUAUUCCUUGUGUAAUGUCAAGUGGAAGUGUGAAGCACCACAAACUGCUCUGAGCAGAGCCCACUUCCCUUCACCCACGGAGAGCGUGAAGCAGUUACACCAACAUCAAUCAAGGAAAACCCACAGGCUGAGCUCACACGGUUGAAGCAGCUCUGUAUUCUAAGAACCUGGAAACAAUCUUUAUUCACACUGUUAAGACGAUUGAGAAAAAUGGAUGGAUAGAGUUUAUUUGCUAAGAGAAAAACUGAGUGACUACCUAGCUACCUCACUCCUUUUUGCUCUAUUGGAAGUUGAAGAUUUGUCCAGGAGCAGAUAGCUGAAGAGAGAGAGAGAGAAGAGAGAACGGCUUACAGCUCAGGUCCUCUCUCCAUGCUUAGGAACCACUACAAAUGCUACUGCCUUGAGUCUCAUUUUGUUUCCCUCUGGAAACCACAUGUGUACCUUGUUUGCAACAGUAUGGUUCUGGAGACCAGAAGGCCAAAAUCAAAAGUAUGGGCAGGCUUGAUUUCUUUAGAAGACUCCAGCGGAGAACUGUGUCUCCUUGCUUCUGAUUCUACAUCUCCAUCCAUGGGCCACUGUUUCAGCAACCUCAGCCAGUGCAACACAACCUCAGCCAAGAAGAGUAUGCAGAGAAAGGAGUCCCCUACCUGCCACAAAACUGUUGUCUGAAAACUGUCUCAUAUUGUCUCAAGUUGUCAUUCAUUGUGAAUUAGACCUGUUUAACAUGUAA
ensembl:lncRNA CASC15 cancer susceptibility 15